rnacentral:rRNA from 1 species
UCCUUUGAUUUUGAGGAAGGUUUAAAGCUAGCGGCACUUUUAAUACAUGCUAGUCAAACGGGGAGUAUUAAAGAGGGGAAAGACCCCCCAAAGAGAGCCCCCCUUUUUGAGAACUCAAAGGGGGGGCCCCCGCUGAAGGGUCUCCGAAACCCCGUGGCAAACAGGUGAGUAAUGUACCGAUUUUGCCCAAAAGUGAGGGAUAAAACCCCAACCGGGGAUCCGAAGGAUCCCCGUAAAUAGAAGGGACCCACCUCAGGCGUCCGUUUGCUUUUGGAGAGAUCGGAAUUCGUAUUAGACGAGGAGAGUCCCGGUAAAAACUUUCCAAAAAAGACUUUUUUGCCUCUGUCAAUGAUGCGUAGCUGAGAGGUCACAGUUAUACUGAAACAAGGAUAACCGCGCUAAUGCGCGCCAGCAGUAGAGAAUUUUGGGCAAUCAACGAAAGUUGGACCCAGAGAUGUCGCUUUUUUGGGGGUUUUAGGUUUUUUGGGGCUUUGGGGUCCAUAGGAUCAUCAGCCCCGGGGCCUUUUUCUCCCUCUUUUAAGUCCGUCAAAAAGACGUGCCAGCAGACGCGGUUAUACGUCUGGACUAAGUUUUAGCCAAAAAACAGGCGUAAAGUGUGAAGAGAGUGCGAAGGGGGGAAGAGGAAAAGGAGACGCAUUUUUAGUUUCACAUUGUGAAAAAUCCAAGAAUCCCGCUUCUAUGCAGAGAAAAAAAAAGGUAAUUGGAACUUUUAGGUAUUGGUGAAAUAAUUCGAUCUAAAAAGGAACACCGGAGACGAAGGUUAAUUACCAAAAAAUUCUGUCGCUUUUUUCACGAAAACAUAGGGAGCAAACAGGAUUAGAUACCCUGGUAGUCUAUUGUUGUAAAAGCUGAUCUAACGCGGCAUAAUUUAUAUGUCGCCUUGAUAACUCGAAAAGAUUCCGCCUGAAUAGUACGACCGCAAGGUUGAAAUUCAAAAAAUUUGGCGGUUCACUAAUCCAAUUAGAGGAGCGUGUAGUUUAAUGCGAUGAUCCGCGAAUAACCUUACCAGAACUUGAAUAAAAGGAAUUGGCAAGGGGGGUAAAGAACGUCCUUGAUUUUUCCCCCCUACUACCACUACUUCGAUUUUGCCCUCGUGUGGGCCCCUUUUACAGGUAUCGCACGGCCGUCGUCAGUUUGUGUUGUGAAACUAUUUUAACGAACUUAACCCCUUUUUUAGAUAAAAAAAGGUAAAAGCUGGCUUUUGUCAAAAAUUUUUAUCAACCCUCUUCCUGCCCCCUUUUUAUCUAUUUUUUUUGGGAUGACGUCAGGUCCUCAUGGUCCAAAUGUUCUGGGCGAGGGGGGCUGAGCAAAAGGCGCCCCCCGCCAUGCGCUACAAUCUUUUAUACAAAAAUGAAGAUUCUCUUUGUUUUCAAUUCUUUUUAACAUAAAAGUUCGGAGAAAGACCUGAAAAGUUCUUUUGAAGUUGGAUUUAAUAGUAAUCGUAAAGUAGAGCGUUACGGUGAAUAUGGCUCUAGUGUUCGUACAAAUCGCCCGUCAACUCGGCCGAGUUUUAAAUGUUGAAAAAACUUAAAACCUUUUUAGUAUAUAUCUCGGGGGAGCGGGCUUUACCCCCUAAAAACCCUGGUUGGUGCAUUACCUUCGCUUUUUCCGAAAAGCUUUUUAGAUUUUGAGACUUUCGAAAUUAGGUUGAGUAAGUCGUAACAAAGCAAGAGUACUGGAAAGUGUUCUUG